rnacentral:lncRNA from 1 species
AUUCCUCUUGUUGAGUUCUGUCCAGGGGGUGCCCAUGAAGACGUACAUAAGACCCGCCCGCUCGUCCUGACCUGUGUCCGGCCUGGCGGCCCUGCAGACAGGUGAGCCUGAACCAGAAGAAACCUUACAGCCUUUCCCUGCCCUGACUGCCCCCAGCUCCUCUGUGAAGAAGGCAGACCAGAAACCACUGUUCUCUAGAUGAGCAAACUGAGGCUCAAAGAGAGGACACACCUUGUUCAGAGUCACUUGGACUUGUUGGUGGAGCAGGACUCAAUGCCAAACGGGAGAGACCCCAAGAUCUUUCCUCCCCAACAACCUACUGUCUCAGGGGUGGGGAGGGAAGCAAGCCUUGGCGUUAUGUUGUUCUUCCCUUCCCUGGCUUUAGUUUUCCCCAUCUGUGGCAUGGGGCGGAUACUACAGCCCCUAGGAGUUGCUGUGAGAGAUUCGGGGGCCCUGUUAGCAGUGCCGCUAUGGCCUCUAUAACGCAGCCUCUGGAGUCCUGGCUAUGCCACCCUGCCUGCCUCUGCCUGGGCAUAGCUCAGAAGGACCAGGCAGGCAGGGCCAGGAGACGAGAAUGUGGGAGACGAACGUGUUCAGUUCCCAGCACCUGACCCCUGACCUCCCCAGUGGGAGAGUCUUGGCCAUUUUAAGAGAAGCCUGGAACGGCCUUGUCAGAAAUCUAAACCCAUUCUUGGGACAGAGGCUGUGAUGAGCUAUUCAUAGAACCUCCCAGAAUAGCUUUGGCCAUCUGUUGGGGCAAGCACUCCAGGGUGGAGAUUUGACCCAAACCGAGGUGAACCCCCACUCAGGCCCCUCUCCUGGGGCCCCUGCUGAAUUUGUUCCCAGGUGCAUUUGUCACCAGGCCAGAAUCACUGCUGAGGAGCCAGAGUGGGGGCAGUGAGAGCGGACCUCAUGACGGGCAGCAUGAAGCCUCCAGACUGCCCCGCCCCUGAUGCUGUGUGGCCCUGACAGGGCUGGUGUCCUUUCUGGGCACUGGCAUUCUCUUGUAUCCCUGGGUGUCCCCACUCAGACGUUCUAGGGUUGAGCUGGGGCUAUGAAUUUAUUAAGCACCGAGAAAGGGGGGAGCUGUCAGAGCUGGUCGCUGGUCCCAGCUAUCCUUACCUGCCCGCUUCAUUUAUUCAGCCGCUUACCCAUGGACUCCCUCCUACGUCCCCUCACUCAUCAUUCCGUCCCUUUCUCCUUCACCCACUGCCUGCCCCUCUCUGUCCCCCGUGCCCCAACCUUUCCCAGCACCCUCUCGGGAGGGCUGUGCACAGUGCUCACUGAGGCCGGGCUGGCUGACCAGGCCCUUCCCUGCAGGGAAGGUUCCUUGAAGGUGGGCGACAGGCUGCUCAGCGUUGAUGGGAUCCCGCUGCACGGGGCCAGCCACGCCACUGCCAUGGCCACGCUGCAACAGUGCAGCCACGAGGCGCUCUUCCAGGUGGAGUAUGAUGUGGCCAUCCCAGGUGAGUUGGGGGUCUGAGGACUAGGGUUGGGGCAGAAAGAGGCCCAGGGCUUGGGGCAGGGGGUAGCAGACCCAAAUCCUCACCACUGCAAAGGCUCUGUGACCUUGGACCAGCACCUAGCCUCUCUGAGCCUCUCUGGGCAAUAAACACUAUGUGUCAGGCAUUGUUUGAGGCACUAGAGAUCCAGGUGAGAGCAAUACAGACAAGGCCUCUGUUCUCAGGGAGCUCACCUUCUAGUGGGGAGAGGUGGACAGUAAACAGAAUAAAUCAAAUAUGGGAGGCAUCAGAUAGCAAUAAGUGGCAUUCUAAAAAAAAAACAAAACAAAACAUCAGGGAGAGAUGGGAAAGGCUAGGAGAGAGAAAGGUGAUGGUGGCUGGACCAGGCUGGUUGCCUGGGAAGCAUAGAUAGGUUGCAUUCAGGAAAUAUGAUGAAAGUCGAUUUGGUCUGAUUUGCUGACGUUUGGACACAGUGGCGGGGGUUGGGCAGGGGCGUCGAGAGCACAAGGAGCUAGGUUUCAUAUUUAAACCACUGGGUGGGUUAAUGGGGGUGCCAUUUUCUGAGAUGGGAAAAGGUUGUAGACAAAUGGCAGGCUCUCCAUAAGUGGGAGCACCUUAGUGUUGUCUAGCAGAGCCGUAGGGUCAGAGCCCCUCAGAGCUGAGUUCCUGACCCUCCUCUGCUGCUGAGUGUUUGUGUGAACUUGGACAAGGCCUUUACCUCCAUACGUCUCAGUUUACCCAUCUGUAAAAUGGGUACGGUAAUCCCUCCCCAGCAGUGGGGGUUAAAUUGAGAUAGCCGACUGAGGCUGGGGAGGCAAGCGUUCAAUAUUUGCAUUUCGAACUCUUGUCUCCUUCCACAUGCCAGACACAGUGGCCAAUGCUUCGGGGCCCUUGAUAGUGGAGAUAACCAAGACACCUGGGUCCGCCCUGGGGAUCUCGCUCACCACCGGCUCCCACCGGAACAAGUCGGUCAUCACUAUCGACCGCAUCAAGCCGGCCAGUGUGGUGGACAGGUGAGACACACUGGGUGCUGCCCCCGUAGUGGCCAGGGAUGGACGGGGGAGAGGCCACCUUGAGCUCUCUCUGGCCAGACCAGCCUCCCCUUUCAUUCUCCCACCCGGCCAGGAGUGGGGCCCUACAUGCUGGAGACCACAUCCUGUCCAUUGACGGCACCAGCACAGCACACUGCUCGCUUCUGGAGGCCACCAAGCUCCUGGCCAACGUGUCAGAGAAAGUGCGGCUAGAGAUCCUGCCAGCACCCCAAAGUCGGAGGCCCCUGAAACCGUCAGAGGCAGGUGGGUCCCCUUGGAGGGUCUCAGCCCCCAAACCUGAGGGCGGAUGGGGAGGAUUGCACAGGGUCCCAGAGGCCUAGGACUGUAGCCCUGGGCAGGCUAAAAUUUACUGGAACAAAUGUCCGCUCCCAUGGGGAAGCUCAGACUGUCAAGUGCAGCAGCCGAGGCUGGGCCGGUGGGGCAGAGAAACAACUUGAAUGUUUGAGUGUUGACAGUCUGCUGGGGUGGGUGUCCCAAGGCUGUUUCCGUCACUCUUUGUAUUAAUAGAAAUACAACGGCUAGACCAAGGUUGGGGACAGUCCUUCUGUGCUCUGUGCUACUUAGAGCUUAGAUCUGGGGCUCAGCUUACCAUCCUCAGCAGGACCAGAGGGGGCAGCCAGUCAGUCAGGAGCACCGAGAGCCCCGCCUUUUGAGGAGUUGGGGGCUCCCAGACCAGAGCAGAGAGCUGGGUGCGAGGCAGUCCAAGAGCAGAGGAAGCAGGUAGUCUAAGAGACCAGAGGGCAGAGCUGAACUUGGGGCAGGGAAGUGCCUCUAGCAUUCCAGACCUUGGGCUUUGGGUUCAAAUGCCAGUGCUGCCCCAGCUGAACAGCCUCUGCAUCUCUCAGCCUCCGUCGCCUCAUCCGUAAAUGGGAGUGAGGACCCCACAUGCACAGGCUUGGGAGAAGUUAACCGAGGUAGAGGAUAGAGCACAGCCCAGGGGUGUGAAUCCCAGCCUGGUACGCCCGAUUGAUCAUCUGGGAGAGAAAGAAACCCCUCAAAUAAAAUGCGGGGAGACAGGUGUUGGGGAGGGUCCAUCUGUGUGGUCUCUGCCAGGGUCUGAAAAGGCCCCAUCAAGCCACAGCCAGGGCCUGACACGGAAGGCUUUGGGGCUUGAGCUGGAGUCACAUAUGGAGCACCUGCUGUGGGCUGGGGCUUCCCAUGGGUCGCCUCCUUUCAUCCUCAGGAUGAGUCUGUGAGGUCAGUAUUGCUGUUAUUCCACUUUCCAGAGGAGGUUGAGGCAGCUGAGGCUCAGAGAGGCACCCCUGAGGUGCCUCAUGAGGGCACACGGCUGCCGACAGCCCUCCUGGCCCUUGUGGGCCUCCGCUAGGUGCCAGGCACUGCUCUAAGCACGUCCUGUGUGGUAGCUCGUUCACAUCCUCCCCAUUAUCCUGGGAGGCAGCCACUAUCUUAGCCCCAUUAUACAGAUAAUGACAGUGAGGCACAGAGGGGCCAAGUGGCCUGUCUCAAGGACCUGGCAGCUGGCUCCUGAGUUGGCUUGUGUGCCGUGCCCUCCCUGUGUGGGAUGGAGGUGCUGCACAGGGGGUGGAGUCACUGGGCUGAGAUAGCUGGGUUCUCACUCAUCCGUCCGUGGACACGUUGCACCAGGCUGGCCCCCCCGAAAGCCCCACAGCAGAAGGAAGAGCCAAGGCGGGACCUGGGGCAGUCUGGGAGGAGGCGUUGCAUGGCAGCCGGUUUAGAAGAUCUGGUGGGGCAGGUGGGGGAGGCAGGAUCGCUGGAGUCCCGUGGGAAGCAGAUGGAGGAGAGUGCAAAGAAUUCAUCUGGGGGUAAAGCCUGCGCAAGUUUGGAGGGCAGGGGGCGGGAAGCCAGAGCAGCUUCAGACUGCAGUGCAGGGGUGAGCAGACCUCGGCCAACUCCUCGGCCCUGGAGCAUAGGUUGCCUCGAGAGCCCAGCAUGGGGCAGAAACAGCCAGGCCCUAGUGCCCCCAUGUGCUCAGCCCCUGGCCAGGGCUGCCCAGGCCACAGCACCGCAGUAGAUCCUAAAGGCGCAGGGGCCCAGUGGGGUCUGUCAGCCGCGCUGCCCAAAGCUGAUGGGCCAGUUCUCAGGCUGGGCCUGCUUUCCCUCCCAUCCUUGCUGCCGCCUGGCUGAGAGCUGAGCACAGUGCCUGGCACGUAGUGGGGGUUUCGGGACACAUGAGCGGCAUCCGAAUGAAUGCCUGGCUUGGCUCUGGGAAAACUCAGGCUGUCUGGUCCUGCUCUUCUCGCUUCAUCUUGCAGAUGGGAGCCUGCCCUCCAGGGGGGCGUGGUGAGUCCAGACUCGCUCAGUCCCUAACACCUGCACCUCUGUCUCCUCUUCCUUGGGUCACAGUGAAGGUGCAGAGGAGCGAACAGCCACAUCGCUGGGACCCCUGCGUGCUCUCCUGCCACAGCCCGCGGCCCGGCCACUGCAGGACGCCCACCUGGGCCACACCUGCCGGCCAGGACCAGAGCCGAUGUAAUGUGCCCAUCUCACCAUGGCUUGUGCAUGUUUCAUAGGGGAGGAAACCAAGACGCAGAGAAGUUAGGGGGUCUGCCCGGUAUUACCCAGCACAUUAGUGGCGACAUGAGCCUGGCAGCUGGGUUUCACCAGGUCUGUGAAAACCCUGCAGUCUUUGAGGCCCAGAGUGGGAGAGACUUACCUGAGGUCACACAGCCAGUGGUUGAGGUGAAAGGGGGAGUGCGUCCCCGUGUCGCCUUGUGCUGGGGUGGCUGCCUAGCACCCACUGUGUGGCAAGGUGGCAGGCCCUUCUGGGAUUCACGGGGCUGUGCUCUCAUCUCCCCAGCCUUGUCCUCGACUCCCUUUUCCUCGCCGACCAUGAAUCAUGCCUUUCCCUGCACCAACCCCAGCACCCUUCCCCGUGGAUCCCACCCUAUGAGCCCCCGGACCACAAUGGGGCGGAGGAGGCAGCGAAGAAGGGAGCACAAGAGCUCAUGUAAGUAAACCAUGGGCUCUUCCCUCCGCUUUGAGCUACGUGUAUGCCUGAUCCUGAGAGAUUUGCCGAAGAGUGGGGGCAUUUGGGGCAGGGCCCCAGUUCUAUGUUUGUGGGGUCAUUAAAUAGCAUGAGUGGUAUGCCAGACUGCCUUGGAUGGUUGGGUAGGUUGUGCAGUGUACAAGGAUGCACCUGAUGAGUUCCAGUUGCUUUGUACAUUUAUUAUGGAAAAUUCCCAGCAGGUGAUAGACCUCACCAUCAAAGAGGCACCUCACCUUAAAGUGCCUUGAGGAGAGGAUACCUGAAUCUGAAAAGCUUUCCCCUUUCAGAUUUGCACAAAGGUCUUGCAGGAACUCCAUUUCAUUUUCUUUCAUUCUGGAUUCGUUCUGAUCCAUUCAAGGAGAAAGUGUGAGCGUGGUGCAGCUACGUCUUUACCGCUUCUCUGACAUUUUUUAAUUUCCCCUAAGACAAAGACAUGUAGGCCUGAGGCUAGCCAUCCAGCAUGUGGUAAUUUUCACGUUCAGUCUGUAUGUAUAUAUACACAUAUGCGUGUAGACACACAUACAUAUAUACACACACGUAUAGAUUUCUACUUACCUUUUGUUUAUAGGCAUUUCUAUUUGCAAUCACUGUAUAUGUAGUUCCCUUUUGUUUUUUUUUUUGUUUUUUUUUUAAAUUUUUUUUUUCAACGUUUAUUUAUUUUUGGGACAGAGAGAGACAGAGCAUGAACGGGGGAGGGGCAGAGAGAGAGGGAGACACAGAAUCGGAAACAGGCUCCAGGCUCUGAGCCAUCAGCCCAGAGCCCGACGCGGGGCUCGAACUCACGGACCGCGAGAUCGUGACCUGGCUGAAGUCAGACGCUUAACCGACUGCGCCACCCAGGCGCCCCUGUAGUUCCCUUUUGAAAUGAAGGUAUAAGUAUUUUAAAAAGUGAGUGAAUGUAAAGACAAAUAGUAGUGAAUGAUAAUGCAGGAGACGUGUGGAAAUAGCAAAAGUCACGAGAAUGCCAAGAAUUUUGAAGUCUUUCCUGGGAAAAGUCCUUCCUUUGUUGACGUAGAGAGUUUAUCCAGCCUUCUGCUCUGUGAGUUGUAGAGGCCUCCAGGAAGGAUGAAAGGUUAACUGGGCCGUUUGUAAUUGAACCAGGUGAGGGAGAAGAGGAAUACAAAUCUCCUGGAAAGGAGCUAAAUACGGUUAUGAGCUUCCUGGAAGCCAAGGUGAAAAUGGAAACAUUUCAGAGUCAGAUGAGAGAUUAAAAUACGUCUUUACCAACCUCCUUUGUCAACCACCAAAGCUGGAGGUGUGUAGGUAAAAAGAUUCAGAAAUGCUGUUCAUAGGCAGGGGCAUGUGGAGGCUAAGGGCUCUUGGGACACCUUUACCUGUCCCUUUCCUAAGAUGGAUGACUAGUAAGGUAUUAUUAUUAUUAUUAUUAUUAUUAUUGAUGAUAACCAUUAGUUAAUUAGUUAAACGUUUUUUUUUUUUAAUUUUUUUUUUCAACGUUUAUUUAUUUUUGGGACAGAGAGAGAGCAUGAACGGGGGAGGGGCAGAGAGAGAGGGAGACACAGAAUCGGAAACAGGCUCCAGGCUCUGAGCCAUCAGCCCAGAGCCUGACGCGGGGCUUGAACUCACAGACCGCGAGAUCGUGACCUGGCUGAAGUCGGACGCUUAACCGACUGCGCCACCCAGGCGCCCCAAUUAGUUAAACGUUUUGAACACCUCCUAUAUACCAAGCACCAUUCUUGUUAUUAGGGAUGGAACUAUGAAAAUUAUAGCAAUACAACAUAUGCAACAAUACAAUAUAUUACACAGAUUGUAACAUGUAAUAUAAAGUAUAACAAAACAGUAAUAAAGGUAUAAUAGUAUAAUAGAAUUCAUAAUAGAAUUAAAUAUAAUAAAUUAUAUUUAAUACAUAAUACCUAUUAAUAAUACAGGUAUUUUUAUAUCUGGAAUAUAAAACAAUAUAUAUUAAGUAACAUAAUGUAUCAAACAGAUAUAAAAUUUUCAUAUGACCCAGCAAUUCCACAUUGAUAUAUGCCCAAGAGAAAUGAAAAUAUAUGUCAUGUCUACCCAAAAACUUAUACAUGAAUACUCGUAGCAACAUUAUUCAUUUUAGCCAAAAGGUGGAAACAACCCAGAUGUCCAUCAAGAGAUGAAUGGAUAAGGGCGCCUGGGUGGGUCAGUUGGUUGAGAGUCCAACUUUUGGUUUUGGCUCAGGUCAUGAUCCCAGGGUUGUGGGAUCGAGCCCCGCAUCGGACUUCUCACUGAGCAUGGAGCCUGCUUAGGAUUCUCUCUCCCUCUCCCUGUGCCCCUGUCCUGCUCUCAUGAACGCUCUCUCUCUCAAAAAGAGAGAGAGAGAGAGAGAGAGAUGAAUGGUUAAAGAAAAUGUGGCGUAUUCAUACUGUGGGAUGUUAUUUAGCCUUAUAAAGGAGAACCUUGAAAAUAUUACGCUUAGUGACAGAAGCCAGACACAAAAGACCACAUAUUAUAGGAUUGAAUUUACAGGGAAUGUCUAGAAUAGGCAAACCCAUAGAGAAGAAAAUAGAUUAGAGGUUGCUUAGGGCCGAGAGAGAUGGAAGGAUCUGGAGCGCUAGCUAAAAGGAAUGGGGUUUCUUUCUGAGAUGAUGAAAGGAUUCUACAUUUGAUUGUGCUGAUGGUUUUACUACGUUGUUAAUAUACUGUAACACACUAAGUUGUACACUUUAAAUUGGUGAAUGCUAUGUUAGGUGAAUUGUAUCUCAAUAAAGCUGUUACCAAAAAUAGCAUACUACGUAUUAUGGUAUUAUACUAGCAUUAGAACAACACUAACCCAACGUAACAUCACAAUCCUCUGUUUUACAGAGGACUUUACAACAUCACAUCACACAUCACAAUCCUCUGUUUUACAACAUGGCAGUCCCAGGAGCUGUCUCCCUUAAUCCUUGUCACGGCCCUGCUGGGUGGGAAUCCCCCGCUGUGCAGAUGAGGAGAGCACUGCCCAGAACAGGCUGUGACUCCCUGGGCCACUCACUUGCCCGUCUGACUCCAGGUUCUUGAGCCUAGGAAUGGGUUGGUUCUGGCCCGAAGGGCUCUCUGGGACUGCCCACCUGACAGCCAUGCCCACCUGUCCUGCAGUGUCACUGGCCUCCAGCACAGUGGGGCCAGGGGGACAGAUCGUGCACACGGAGACCACGGAGGUCAUACUCUGCGGAGACCCCCUCAGCGGCUUCGGCCUCCAGCUCCAGGGUGGCAUCUUUGCCACCGAGACCCUUUCUUCCCCUCCGCUCGUGCGCUUCAUCGAGCCCGACAGCCCAGCAGAGAGGUGAGCCAACUUCCCCUGCCCCACUGGGCCUGCCACUCUCCAACUCAGGGCUCAUAGACAGCCAGGGAAACAGAGUCACAUGCCAAGCCUGGCUUCACAAGUGUAUCUCGCUCCGCCAUCCCAUCAACUCCGUCAUCAGCCCCACUUUACAGAUGAGGAAACUGAGGUGCAGAGAAGCUGAUGCAUUGCCCAGGGUCACGCAGCUUGUGAGUGCCCCAGGACUGGAACCCCUGUCUGCCUGAAGCCAGAGUCCUCUAUAUACAUAUCUCCUAAGGCACGCAUCACCCCCCUUGGGCAGACAGAGAAGCCGAGGCCCAGCAAGUUCACUCCCUUAGCCAGAGUCACAUGCUGAAUGGCCUGAGGAUGUACAGCUGGUAUAGGGCCGAGCUGGGAGUCAUACCUCGAGCCUGCCCCUGCAUGGCAUUCCUGUCCCCCAGGGAUAGCCGUGCUGGUAACGGAACUUCUUCUCUCCGCGGGGCUGCCCGGGAUUCAGGUGUGGGCUGCUGCAGGUGGGAGACCGGGUCCUGUCCAUCAAUGGUAUUGCCACCGAGGACGGGACGAUGGAGGAAGCUAACCAGCUGCUGCGGGACGCGGCGCUGGCCCACAGGGUCGCACUGGAGGUCGAGUUUGAUGUGGCAGGUGAGUGAGUGUCCCUACCUCCCCCUCGCCCUUGGGGACCCUGUGCUCCCUCCUGUCCUGUGCUCUCGCCUGGUGCACGUGCUCCUCCACCCCCACCCCACCCCCCCUUGCAGCAACCCUUCUGCCUGAGUGUUUGCAGCGUGUGCCUGAGCACCAGCACCAGGAAGGCACUGGCCGGGGAGGCAGGAAUUCUGCACACCAGUGGGAGCGUUGAUGAGGGAGUUUUGUGCCGAAACAGGACCGAGGGAGGGCAGAGGGGGGCUGAAAACAUUCCCUGCCCCUCUGCAGGGCUUAGGCAAAGAACCCCACACAAAAACUCAGUUAGACGUUCUGGUCUUGUGAUUUCGACAUUCUGUGACUUUGGACACUCCCUCCCACCACCCAUCCUCAGCUUCCCCAACUUGAACUGGUGAAUAGAGUCCUACUACAAUGGAUAUUGUUGGGUUAGAUGAGAUAAAUUGUGUGGAAACACCAAGCUAAGGCCCGGCACGUAGUAGGUGCUUGGUAGAUUGUUACUGGGUCUGAACUGGGUUGGCUGGCCGUCAUGGGGCCUGGGUGCCAGCCCCAAAUCUGCUCUGACCAGAUGGGUUGUCUUGGGCAAAUGCCAGCUCACCAUGCCUCAGUUCUCUCAUCUGUCAGGUGGAAGACGCAGGAUGGGGUUGGGAUGGUGACUUUUUGCAGUCUUUCCCAGCUGGCCUACUGGGACUCCCUGAGUCUUCUCCCUCAGGCCUCACAUGAGUCCACGUGUGUUUGCCUGCAGAGUCCGUCAUCCCGAGCAGCGGUACCUUCCACGUGAAGCUGCCCAAGAGGCGUGGAGUGGAGCUGGGCAUCACCAUUGGCUGUGAGUCCCUCCCCGCCAUCCAGUCCCCACGCCGAGUGAGCCUCCUGCUGAGGGAAAGCACACACCUCCAGCCUAGAAGAGGGGGUGCUCCAGGUGGGAGGGCUGGCUUGGGUUCCCUCUGCCUGCAACGCUCAGCUCUGUGUCCUUGGGCGACACCCUAGCCACUGGGAGCAUCAGUUUCCCAUUCUGCACAAUGGGAGUUUCCUGGCCAUGUGGCUCUCCCAGUGGGAUUAAGUGGCUUGUAAGGCACCAAACACGUGGGCCAGAUUGGUUUUUUAUUUGUUUUUUGUUGUUGUUGUUUUUUACCUUCACAUUCCCAGUAGUGGGAGGAUGAAAACAGAAGAGUAGAAUGCACAAGCAUAGGGACCUUCAGAACCCUCCCAUGGCUUCAUCCUACUCUGAGUAAAAGCUGAAGUCCUCACGGCUGAUGAGGCCUUUGUGAUCUGGUCCUAGUGAUCUCUGACUUCAUCUCCUGCCAUCCCUCCAUCAUGCCCCACCAGCCACUGCUGGCCUCCUGGUUGAUCCUUGAACAUACUGCUCCUUCCAGCCUCAGGGCCUUUGCACUGGCCAUUCCCUCUGCCCUCUUCCCCACCAUUUGCUCAAAUGGCACCUUUGGAAGUCCUUUCCUACCACCCCGAUUUACACUUGCCCUACCCUCCACAUGGCCCCUUCCAUACUUUCUUUUUCUCCACAGCAUGCUUUAUCAGUUGACAAACUAUGUACAGUUGGCCCUUGAACAACAUGGGUUUGAACUGUGCAGGUCCACUUAAACAUGGAUUUUUUCCGAUAAAUACAGUACAUCCUAUAAAUGUAUUUUCUCUUCCUUACGAUUUUCUUUUUUUAAUUUUUUUUAACGUUUAUUUAUUUUUGAGACAGAGAGAGCCAGAGCAUGAAUGGGGGAGGGUCAGAGAGAGAGGGAGACACAGAAUCCGAAACAGGCUCCAGGCUCUGAGCUGUCAGCACAGAGCCCGACGCAGGGCUCGAACUCACGGACCGCGAGAUCAUGACCUGAGCCGAAGUCGGCCGCUUAACCGACUGAGCUACCCAAGCGCCCCUUUUCCUUAUGAUUUUCUUAACAUUUUCCUUUUUCUAGCAUACUUUAUUUUAAGAACACAGUAUGUGAUACAUAUAACAUACAAAGUACAUGUUCAUCAAUUGUGUUAUUUGUAAGGUGUCCAUUCGACCGUAGGCUAUUAGUAGUUAAGUUUUAGGGGAGUCAAAAGUUAAUAUUCAACUGCACGGGGAGACAGCACCCCUAACCCCCACAUAGUUCAAAGGCCAGCUGUACUUUAAAAUGUUGUUGAUUAUCUGUGUCCCCCACCAGACUGGUAGCCCCAGGAGGGUGGGGAUCUUUGUUUUGUUCACUCUCCCUCUCCCUUGCACAUACAUAGUAGAGAUUGAACUGUGUCCUGGGGAUCCUGAAGGGAAAGACGUUGGGAUAAGGGGUGGAGACACCCCCCGGCUGGCUGUAGCAUUGCCACCCCCACCGCCCUGCUGAGGUGACCUCCUGGCGAGUGUCCACUCUGGCCAGGGCAGCACACACACUGGUAGGCUGACCCCAGGUCAGGCAACAGAUGCUUGGACCUCAUUCCCCAGGGAGAUUCAGGGAGCCCCAGAGAACAGAAGACCAGGAUUGCAGUCCUUGUGUGAAAUGAUCCUCAGUCCCCACCCUGGGCUUGACAGAGGGUGACUGCAGCUCCUUCCUUCCCCAGACUCCACAGUCAAUGGAGGUGGAAGUUUAAGCACUCUGGGAGGGGAGAAGCUGCUUCCAGCCCAGGAACCUCUGGGUAGGGCUGCCAGAUACAGUUGCACAAGUUGCACAUGACACAAAGAUGCCCAUUUGAGGUAGACUUACAAUUUUAUUGCAUCAGUCGGAAGAGGUGCCCUUGUCUCAUCUGCAAAGAUGCCACAUGGGCUAGAAGAGGCUCCUACCAUCUGGUCACUAAUGGGAAAACCCAUCCGCCCAGAUGGAUUCUUUCUGCAAGAAAACUUAGCUAUUCAUGCAACACCCAUUGUCUUAGGUCACGUUUCCCCAGAAAGAGCUUCUUAGACAGAGUUAUGUUCCGGGGGUUUGCUGAGAAGGGCUCUUGGAAUCACCACCUGUGCGAGGUGAAGGAUGUGGGGCUGGGCAGAUGGAGGAGCUGGGUUGUGAUGCGACCACAGCAGGUGGCCCAGCCAAUCCCACGGAGAGCCCGAGGGCCAGGAAGGCUUUGGAAGUUGUCCUGAAUGAGGCUGGGAGCCAGGCCUUUGCACCUCUGUUGGACCAGGCUGUACCCAGGAGCUGCAUAACCUUGGGUGAGGCUGUUCUCUUGGUCAGAGGCAGUUUCCGGAGAGGGAGCCCCCUGCGGGCCAUUCAGCUAGCACUCCCUGCAGAUGGGAGAAGGGAAAACUCAAUUGUGGAAGGGUCACCCAGUUCCUGGGUCGUGGCCCUGUGCCAGGUGGGAGUCCCUGACACAGCCCCUGAAGGAGUUCGCAGUUUGCUGGGGGAUGGGCUGAGCAGAAGGGAAAAGCGCUGAUGUGGACUGAGCACCUGUUAUGUGCCGGGAUCCAUGUUAGGUUUUGCUUUGUCUAGUUUGAUCUCAUGACAUCUUCAUGAGUUCUGUGGCAUCCCCCCCAUCUUACAGAGGGGAAACUGAGGCAGAAAGGGGGCUGAUUUGCUCACGGUCACCCAGACAGGAAGCAGUGAGAGCAGGACAUGCUCUAACUCCUGACCCCUCCAAACUCCCUGAGGCUGAGGUGGUCAAAGGUCAGAUUCAUGCUUCUCCCCCCUCCCCCCCCCAGCGACCAGCAGGAAGCGAGGAGAGCCCCUCAUCAUCUCUGACAUCAAGAAGGGCAGCGUGGCACACAGGUAGGGCUGGCCCUGGGCACAGGGCAGGGGGAGUAAUCCAGGGGGAGUAGCGUGUGCCAGCCUCUUUCUGUCCCCCACCCCUGCUCAUGCAGGACCGGCACCCUUGAGCCAGGCGACAAGCUUCUGGCCAUCGACAAUAUCCGCCUGGACAACUGCCCCAUGGAGGACGCUGUGCAAAUCCUGCGGCAGUGCGAGGACCUGGUGAAGCUGAAGAUCCGGAAGGACGAGGACAACUCCGGUAUGGCCCCUGCCAGGCCCUGCCGCCUCUCGGUCCACCCCCGGAUGAUGCGUUCCCAGCUUGCAAUUUGGGGUUCCCUCUGGCCAAGGAGGGAGGGAGGCAGGCUGCUGGUGCAGGCUCCUUGAAUGAACAGAUGCAGGGAGGAGCCCCAGCACAGAUGUCUCACCAUCCCUGGGGCUGCCUGGAUCCUCUGCACCCAGCACAAAGCCUAGCAGAGGGGACCCCCAGGGGGCAGCAGCGAGCAGAUGAGUGGGCGGGGCAGGGAUGCCUCAAUGACUGCACCCUGCACGGGCAGUGUGUGAGUGAAGAAGUAAAAGCUGUGACACCUCUGAGGCCAGACAGGUGACAGAAGUGAGUGAACUGGACAGAAGGUAAGAGAAAUGUAUACAGGUUGGGGAGGCAGUAGGGAGGGGUGAGGCUUGUGGUCCCUGGAGAGCCAAUCCCUUAUUCAGAGAGGCAAUUCCUACCCUGGGAAGUAUGCUGUCUUGUGGGCAAAACUUCUUCUAAGUUUUCUUUUUUAAAGAAAGCUGGAAAUCUGGUUUCUUCUUCUCAUUAUUGUUAUUUUGUGUCAUGCAUGAAAUAUAUAUUUUAGAGUGUUGGGUUCAUGGUGUUUGGGUGCCAGAAAACAUUUCUGGAGGCAGAAGAUGGCAUCAGAGUCCCCGGGUUGUGCCAUCCAAAGUCAUGGCAGGAGUGAAUGGGUGAACUAACAAAUGAGUGAGUGCGAGUGGGAGUGAGUAAGGACACCAAGGUGUUGGGGGCUGGGGGCGUCCAUCUCCUGGGUCCUGCCCCACUGCACCCCGCCCUGAUAGGUGCCACCUUUGCAGAUGAACAGGAGACCACGGGUGCCAUUAGCUACACAGUGGAACUGAAACGUUACGGGGGUCCCCUGGGUAUCACCAUUUCGGGCACAGAGGAGCCUUUUGACCCCAUUGUCAUCUCAGGCCUCACCAAGCGUGGUCUGGCUGAGAGGUGAGCCAGGGUUCUGGGGGGGGGGGAUGCAUGGGGUGGGCCCAGGGACCCUCAUGGGGCAGGGGUUGUGCUUUGAGAACAGCUGAAGUGGAUUCUGACCUUGGUUCCAACGUUGACAUUCUGGGUGACAUCAGGACUGUCCCUUCCCUCUCUGAGCCUCAGUUCCACAGAGGUAGACCAGCCCCUCCCUGGCUGACCUCUCCAGCUUCAGUAGGUGCCAGAUAAAUGUAUGCCAACUCUCCUCUCUCUCCCAAUGUGGAGAUUCCUGGAGAUUUCUGGAAAGUCAGCAUUGUGAGCCUUUUUGGAGCACCUGCUGUGUGCCUUCAAUCCUGGCACAGCAUGGGGCUUUUCUGCAGGCAUUAUGGGCCCCCCUGCUGUCCUCUCCCCUGGGGAAGGUGUGAGAAAGAGGGUGCCCCAGGCUGGCCAGACUGGGGGGAGCAGGUGAAUCUGGGGCCCAGAGGUAGAACAGGGCCCCAUGGGGGUCACGGGGGGUGGUCCCAGUCUGGGCGAGAUGCAGCUUUCUCCAGCCACUGAGAGGAACUGGCUGUAAAGGGAGAGACUGGGCAGGUCUGGAGGGGGCAGGCUGGGCCCCUGGGGGAGGACACAAAGCAGGAAGGGCCACGUGGUGACAGGGUGCCGCAGUGGGACAGAGGGGGCUGAGGAGUGUGGUUCCUGGCUCCCUGUUGGUGUCCUUGCUCCCGGAGCGCCCCCUGCUGGCCCACUCCAGGGGCCAGUGUGGAUGGUUCCCACCUCAAGUAUGUUCAUCUACUCCCACGUUUACUGGGUACCUACUAUGUGGCGGCUCAUCCUGGACGCUGGGAGCACAACAGACAGUCCCCCGUGCCCUCACCAGGCUGAUCUAGCUUAGUGCUGUCUAGCUGCAGUGUAAUGCGAGCCACACAUUUAAUUAUCAACUUCCCGGUAGCCAUAUUAGAAAAAUAAAGAGAAAUAAAACGAAUCUUACGUAUGUAUUUAUUUCAACACGUAAUCAAUAUACAAAUGAUAAAUGAGAUAGUUUACACUAUUUUUUUAAUUGUGUCUUCAGAAUCUGGUGUGUCGUUUGCCUAAGUCAAGGCGUCUCAGUUUGUGGCAGCCACGCUAUGGGGCCCAGUAGCCACAGGCGGCUGCCGAACUGGACAGACCUCCCUCCCUCACUCAGCCCGCCACCCCCCUGACUUAGUCCCCUGGACUCCUGGGGAGCUUGGUGGGCGGUGCCCACCUGCAGCUGCUCUCCCUGCUCUCUCUCAGUGCUGGCUGUUCCUCAGGAUCCCCUUCCCCAGCCCGAUUCCCAGGGAUACCAUUUAAUUGGCCAGGCGUGGGGGCCAGGCGUGUGCAUGUUUAGAAAAGCUCCUCAGGUAAUUCUAAUGGUGUCCAGGCAGAAACCCACUGGACCGGAUCAAUGCUGCUGCCUGGCCUUGUCAGCCCCUUGCAUCCCCUUGUGAGGUCGCCCGGGCACCCUGUGCUCAUUCUCUAGGUGAGGAAGCUGAGGCCCAGGGAAAGGGAAAGGCUGUCCAUGGAGAGAAGCAUGAAUCCCUUCCACCCAUCCAUCUUUCAGUUAGAAUUAGGUAAAGUAAGUUUAUCACUCUCAUUUACGGGCUCCAGAUCAUGUGGUAGUUGACAGCUGCUCUGCGCGAUUCAGACCGUGCUCAGAACUCAUGCUUCACCCUGCUUCCAGAACCUGCCUUUACAGUCAGGCAGGAUAAUCCCUCCCCUCCCAAAUUCUAGACUUUGUACCUCCGUUCAUACCACCAGAGAUCACACUUGCCUUCUGUUGCAGCUGGGUUUGAUUGAGGUCCGUCGGGCUUGUGCCUUGGGGUUCCUGAGUUCCCUGAAGGCAGACCCCCACCCUGAAGCCUCGACUGUGUCUCGUUCUCUGUCCUGUGCCCCCUCCCCAGGACUGGCGCUAUCCACGUUGGGGAUCGCAUCCUGGCCAUCAACAGCGUCAGCCUCAAGGGCCGGCCUCUGAGUGAGGCCAUCCACCUCCUGCAGGUGGCUGGUGAGACUGUCACACUGAAGAUCAAGAAGCAGCUAGACCGUGAGCCUCACCCCAACACCUGGGGGCCCUCAGCCCAUGUGGGAACCCCUCUGUGCCCAGCCUCGUGGAAUCCCCACCAAACCCCACAGAGGUGGGAAGGCACCUGGGACAGCUGAGGAGAUGAGACCCAGAAGGGUCACAGCUUGUAUGGGGCAGAGUCUGGGCCUGAACCACCCACUGUCUUCAUCGCCUCCUGCCUCUCACAGCUGCUCGUUAUGCCUUCGGGCCGUACCUGUCCUUUCCUCAGUUUCCCCCGAUUUGUACCCUGUACCUUGGCAAGCGAGGCCACCGCCCGCCGUGGAAGGAGCCUUCAGGGUCUUCCUUCUGACCCGGGCCCCACUGUUGCUCACCCUGUGACCUUGGGCAUGUUGUGCACACACAAUGCCACGGGGGCUUCCCGAGGCCCAGCUCAGAGAACUCAGCCUCCGUUUUCCUGUCUGUGAAAUAGGUUUGCCCAUUGGUGCACCACCUCCCUCAUAUCAGGGGGCCCAGCAGUAGGCUUGGGGGGAGUGCUCAGUGCCUGUGAGUUCCCAAACCAGACUGAAGUGGGGAAACUGAGGCUCACUGAGCAUCUCUGUCUCUGAGGUCAGAGGCCAGUGGCAGUGACACCCCCUUUCCAUCCCAGGCCCCCUCCCACACCGCAAGUCGGGCAGCCUCAGCGAGGCCAGCGAUGCAGAUGAGGACCCUCCAGAGGCACUCAAAGGGGGCUUGCUGGCAGCUCGGUUCUCCCCUGCCGUGCCCAGCGUGGACAGCGCCGUGGAGUCCUGGGACAGCUCGGCCACAGAGGGGGGGUUUGGGGGCCCAGGUAACACUUCAUCGCCUAUAAGCAACAUGCUCUCUCUGGGCCGCCCCAGCUGCCAGGCCUUUGUAGGGGCUGCUCCUUCUGCCUAAUCCUUCCUCCUCCUCUCCCAGCUCCUUCCUUCAGGGACGCUUCCUGGAGGCAGACCCGCCUGGGCCACAUCAGCCAUUCCCAGGGCCCCUCACUGCUCAGAGCAUGGACCCCAGGCCUUCACACAUCUUUUGAUUAGCAUCCAUAGCACCUCAGCUGGCUAUUCAGAGUUCCCCACCCUGAGGUUAGGGACCAAGCUGGCCAUACUUCUGUCUUUGUCAUUCCCAGCCCAGUGCCCUGCACACGGCAGGUGCCCAAUCAAUGUUUAUUGCAUCCGUGGAGUCCUGGGCAAAAAACCCCUUCCCACCUCAUCCCGCAAGACCCAGCCUUAAAGCGGACACCUCCAGGCCACCCUCUUAGGACACGAGCUCCCCUGCCCAUGCGUGUUGAGACCCAUAGGUAGCUUUGGAGGUUGGGGGCAUUUGACUGCAGCAGCUGGCCUUCUGGCCUCUGCAACACAGAGCCACAGGGGCUCCCCAAGGCCAAGCUCAGAGAACUAGUGGAGCGAGGCUUCUAAGUGCCCUCAGGUGGCUCCCAGCCCCUGUCCUCACUGUCUGUAUAUCUGCCUUCCCUGGGGUCUCCGCUUCCCCAUCUCAAGUACUUGAUCAGUAUCUCUUAGCUUACUCCCAGGGCAGGGUCGUCAGAGCUCCCAAAGGCAGGCAGAGAGGAAUGGUCAAAAUAGUGAAAGUCCUUCCCGUGCAGGGGCAGCUGGGCGAAGCUUCUUGAUGGAGGCGGGACAGGGUCCUGGAGCCCUGGGCAUUAACUCUUCUGCUGGGUGAUUCAGAGGGUUCUGGGUGGCGGCCGGGCCCUCAGGGGACUCUGGGUAGUCAUGCAGGUCCAGACGGGGCAAAGACCUAUCCACGGUCACCCAGCACAGCUGGAAAAGGGGCAGAAAGGAGGGUGAGCUAUACCCUCUCAGACACCCCCCUCUCCACCUGCCAGGCUCCUACACUCCACAGGCGGCAGCUCGGAAUGUGACCCCCCAGGAGUGGCGGCCCAGCCGGCUGAGAAGCAGCCCCCCACCCACGGAGCCCCGGAGGACAAGCUACACCCCGGCCCCCACAGACGAGAGCUUCCCUGAGGAGGAGGAGGAGGAGGAGGAGGAGGAGGAGGACUGGGAGCCACCAACUAGGUCUGUGGUGGCAACGCCAUGAGGGAGGAGGCAGUCACAGUCUCCUGGCUAGGAUGGGUGAGGGUCCCUGUGCCACCGUAGGGGGGCAGCGGAGGAGUCUUGUUCUGGCUCCCAAGGAGGGUCGCUUCCCAGGAGAGAGGAGGAAACGUCGGUCAGAGCUGCCUCGGCCUGGCUGAGAUGGGGAUGAGGCUGUGCUGAGCAGAGGGCGCUGCCAUGGCAAACGUGUGGAAGGUGUUUGCCUUUCUGAAGUCUGCUAAUCUCUCGUUCUCAGAAGAAAGGCAACAGACUCAGAACUUGAACCCGACCCUCCUGACUUAGCCCAGAUUCCUUGACGGCCCCCCUACAAGGGCCUUCAGGUCACAGGUGCCAGCCCUGAGCUGUGGACGUGAUGGGUUUUGUAGUGUUGGCUUUGAAGGGCACGUUGUCACCCCUGGAGGAGGCCCCUGCGGAGAACAGGCCCUGUGGCUGUUCCUCACUGAGCCCUAGCUACCCCUCCCACAUCUGGGCUUUCAAUCAGGCACUUCCUUCUGCCUACUCUCUCCUGACCAAGGCCUACUGUGCCUUGAAAACCCAGGUCCUGCCUCCGGGAAGCUUCCCUGACUUUUUCAGGCAGAAGGCAUGUGAGCCUCCUCAUGGCACUGGCUGCCUUGUGUCCACCUGAUGCGUUCCCUGGCUGUGGUCCCUUCUGCUAAGUGCCUGGCACCCAGGAGGCAUUUCUGCACACUUUGUGAAGGAUCCGCCAGCUCCUUGAGAACAGGGGCGACACCUUCUUUACCUCCGUAGCCGUGAGCCCUGUGGAUGGAGCCCUGGCUCAAAAUAUUUGUAGAAAUGAUUUGAAUGGAGAGAAUGUCCUUUAGCCUCAGUCUUCUCAUCUUUAAAAUGGGAAGGGCAGGAGGCAACUAUCAUGCAUCAGCCUCCCUGAGUCUCCCUAGGAGAGAAAAGCUGGAGGGCCUUUAUAAGAAAGUGCUUUGCAAAUCAUACUUUAUAAGUGGCCAGGACUUUGUAGGCGGCAAGUGGCUUUGUGAACUAUGAAGCGUGCGUGUGACUUGGUAUUAUUCUAUUGUGCCUCAAUUUUAAAGUGAUGAUGGGCUCCUACACCCUGUGACGGAAGCCGUGGGGUGGCCUGGACCCUUCCCCAGCACAGACACGCCAUCUCCAUCCAUCUGUGUCCUUGCUGGCUCCAGCUCUGUCCCUGUCACUGUGCUAUGAUGCCAUGUGUCUGGGUGGGGCCAGGGGCCGUCCUCUGGGGCUACACCAUGGAUCUCCUCUCUGUCUAUCUGUCUGUCUGUCCGUCCGUCUGUCUCUCUUCCCAGGCGUCCUGUGUCACCGCUCUCCACCCCGUCUCAUCUGCCCCUGUUCUAACUGGCCACCGACAGUCCUGGUCGCCCCUAACUGCGUCUUCCCCCCAUUCCGUGUCACCAACCACUGCCCCGGGGCCCCAGCACUGCCACCGAGGACGCCCGCCUGCCUGCCCGCCCGCCCGCCCACCCUCUGGCCCCUUGAGCCCAACGCCGGGCCCUGGGGCCCCGAAGACUCCUCAGGCCCCAGCCCGCCUGCCCGCCCAUCUGUCCACCAGGAGUUGACGCUCUCUGGUUCCUACGUUACAGCCCAGCCCCUGGCCCUGCCCGUGAGGAGGGCUUCUGGCGCAUGUUCGGGGAAGCCCUCGAAGACCUGGAGUCGUGUGGUCAGUCAGAGCUGCUGAGGGAACUGGAGGUAGGGCCACCCCCCCCCGCAGACCUUCCUGGGGGCACCUGUGCAUGGACACACUGAUGGGCAUGCCAUAGGAGACAAGCGUGUUGAUGGGAUCCUGCCUGCGUGUCAUGUGUGUCAUGCACUCACCCGGCACCCGCCAUGUAAAGGGGUCUUCACACAUGUGCGGACACAUACACAAGUAUGACUGAGAACACUGUGGUGUGGUGGUUCGAGGCGUAUGCACAUGUGGACCUGUCUGGUAUCAUGUGUGCAUUGGCAGCAUGCGUGUGGGCAUUUCAGAGCAGGUGUGUCUGAGUGUGCACAGUUGGAUAUGCACAGGGACAGUUUCGGUGUCUGUGUGUGCAUGUGCAGUAUGUGGACACGGUUGUGGGCAUGCCCUGUGGAAGCACGUGGAUGUCAACAUCAGUGACAGCACAGGGGAUCGGGGUCAGGGGAGCUGAGAAGUGACUACAGCUUUGUGUGAGGUCAACAUUGCCCACAACAGAUCAGGCUGCGCAGAAGGUCUAGGAAAGAUCCAGCUGGGUCAUUUCAGAAGCUCCUUCAUACUCUGAGAGUGAUAAUGUAAACUUCUGCUUUACCUGUGCUUUUGCCCCUAAUAUUGUUGACUAGGGCCUUUUUCUUUUCUCCAUCAGCCUUGCUAUUUAUUAUGCUCCUCAGAGAACUAGUUUUUGGCUUUGUUAGUUCUGUCUUGUGUUUCAUUGUUUUCUAUCGUAUUCAUUUCUGUGUUUAACUUCUUUGUGUUUAAGUAAUGAUACUUUUCCUGGUUUCUUAGGUCCUUAAUUUUCAGUUUCCCUUGUUUUCUACUGUGGUGCAUCUUAAGCUAUGAUUUUACCCAUAAGUACUGCUUUGGCUGCAUCCCACAAGUUUUGAUUUGUAGUGCUUUAAUUGAUCAUUCAGUUCCAAAUAUUUAAAAAAUGUCUAGUACAAUUUUAGUUAGACCCUUAACAUAUACAGAAGUGGAGAGGUUUCUUUCUAGUAUCAGUUCUAGUAAAUGUUUCAUGUAUGCCUGCAAAACAAUGCGAAUUCCCUUUUUUGGGUGUAGGGUUCUCUGCAGAUCAAGAUUGUUCAUAAACUUGUUCAAAUCUGCAUCCUGAUGAAUGUUAUAUGCUUUAUUUAUCUUCAUGUGGUUUUUUGUUGUUGUUGUUAGUAGUAUGAUAAAAUCCCAUUGUGAGUAGAGAUUUGGCAAAUUCUUGACAUUCUGUCAAUUUUUGUCUAUGUCAAAAUUUGUCUGUCAUUAAGCGCAUGAUGGCUAUAACUUCUUGGUGAAUUUUUCUUUUUGUUAUUAAUCAGUACCUCUAUCCCUAUCUGCUUUCCACUUUAAAUUCCAUUUUUCCCAUAAUAAUAUGGCUCCACCAGCUUUAUUUUAGUAAUGUUUCCUGUCUUUUUUCCAAUUUCUUUAUUUUCAAACUUACUGUGUUACUAAGUUGUACAUUUCUCAUUUUAAGUGUAUCUGUUGUAUGCUAUAUAUAGCUGAUUGUCCCCCCAAGCCAAGGGUCUUCUUUUAAGGCAAGUUUAGUUCAUUUAUUCUUUUUGUGAUUACUAAUAUAAAGUUAUUUCUAGCAAAGAAUUUAUACUUUCUAUGUAUCCUACUUUCUCAAUACUUCUGAUCUACUAUCUUAACUUUUCUUGUAUUGAUAAAUCUCCUACUCCUGCACUCUUUCCAUCAUGAAAAAGGAUAUUUUUUAUAAUUUUUAUUCUUUUAGUGAUUAUCCUUAAUUCAUUUUACGUUUUUUUUAUUUUAGAGAGAAAGUGAGUGUGAGCAGGGGAGAUGGGCAGAGGAAGGGGGGAGAGAGAGAGAGAGAGAGAGAGAGAGAGAGAGAGAGACAGAGACUCUUAAGCAGGUUCCAUGCUCAGCAUAGAUCCUGAUGAGGGACUUGAUCCCAUGACCCUGGGAUCAUGACAAGAUCAAGAGUCGGGUGCUCAACCUACUGAGCCACCUAGGUGCCCCUGUUUUACUUUUUAUUUAUUUUUAAUUUUUUUUAACGUUUAUUGAUUUUUGAGAGAGAGAGAGACAGAGCGUGAGUGGGGGAGGGGCAGAGAGAGAAGGAGGCACAGAAUCCGAAGCAGGCUCUAGGCGCUGAGCUGUCAGCACAGAGCCCGAUGUGGGGCUUGAACCCACGAACCAUGAGAUCAUGACCUGAGCCAAAGUCGGACACUUAACCGACUGAGUCACCCAGGCAUCCCCCUGUUUUACUUUUAAUAUUGAAUUUUUACAUUUAAUUUUUUUAUUAUUACAGAAGCCAUACAUGUGGAUGGUGCAAAAUUAGAUAAACAAAGUAAAAUAAAAAAUGAAAUAAGCAGAGUAAAACAUAAGAACAAAACAGUCUCAUCACACAUAGAUUACCACUGUUACUGCUUAAGUGAGUGUGUAUGUAUUUUUAGGAUAACAAAACCAUGAUAUACAUGCUCUUGUAUAUGCUUUUUCAGUCAGCUACUCUGUUUUUCCGUAUAUGGAAAUAAUCUUCUAAUAUAUUUUCAUCUCUUCUAAUAGCAAGGUCAUAGGUUUUCACAGUUGACCGCAAAUUUCCCUUUAGGUCUGGUCUGGCUAAACUAGUCCCUAAUCCAUGCUUGGCACUUGGUUUUUAUGCCUUUUCAGUCUCUCUUAAUUUUAGUCCAGUGCCUUUUUAACGAUGCUGACAUAAAAUUUUUGUUUAUCAAGAUAAAAUUCACAUAUCAUAAGAUUUACAUAAUGUUAUGGGGCCCCUGGGUGGCUCAGCUGGUUAAGCGUCCAGCUUCAGCUCAGGUCAUAAUCUGGUGGUUUGUGAGUUUGCACCUGCGUCGGGCUCUGUGCUCACAGCUCAGAGCCUGGAGCCUGUUUCGAAUUCUGUGUCUUCCUUUCUCUGCCCCUCCCCUGCUCACACACUCUCUCUCUCUCUCUCUCUCAAAAAUAAAUAAACAUUAAAAAUUAAAAAUUAAAAAAAAAUUUACAAACCAUUCAAAUGUAAAUUAAAUAUUAAAAGUAAAAAGAAUGAAUUAAGGAUAAUCACUAGUAAUUCAAGGGCUUUUAUAGUGUAUUCACAAUGUUGUGCAUACAUGACCAGAACAUUUCUAACAUCCCAAAAAGGAGUCCCACAUCUCUCAACCGCUGUUCUGGAUAGUUCUUAUAAAUGUAGUCAUGCGGUAUGUGGCCUUUUUUCAUUUAGCUUAAUGUUGUAGAACGUAUCAAUACUUCAUGCUUUUUAUGGCCACAUAAUAUUCCAUCCCAUGGAUAGACCAUGUUGCUGACUAUUUGAAAAGACCAGGCCCGGUGGACUUUGCCUUGAAUUUUUUUACCAUCUUCACUUUCCUUUUUGUUUUUUUCUUUUUUUUUUUUUUUUAACAAAGUCUAAUCAGUGCCUUUGUCUUCCUCCUCAAUGAGACAGGCCCUGCAGAAUGCUUCCAUUUCCCUCCCAACUCCUCUCCCCACUUGUUUAUAAAAUUGCUCAAAAUUAGUUUUGUGGGAUUUUAGUCAGUACUCAUUUACUGUUACUGGUAAUUUCUGUGCUCACCAUUGUUUCUCGCAUUCCAUGUUUUCCGUCUCAGUUCAUCCUUUAAGAUCUUUUAGUGAGAAUCUUGAGGCGGUAUAAAUUCUUUUAGGUUUUGUGAGUGAUUUUAUCUUACUUAUUUUUACCAAUAGCAGGGUAGCAGAGUGGUUAAAACCUUUGACUUUGAAGGCAGACUCUGAGUUCAGAUCUUAAUUUCUCUUAGCCUCUGUUUCCUCACCUAUAAAAUGGACCAAAGGAAUCGUAGAAUGGUGUUUGCUUGUUUCAUAGGAUUGUAGAGAGCAAAAUGAAUUCUGUGGGGACAGUCCUUAGACUUGAGCUCGGCACAGAGUAAGUGCCAUUCAGUGCCAACAAUUAGUAUGCUAAUUGCUGGUGUGAUCGAGGACCUCCCCCACCUCACCCCUGCCCACCCUCAGACUGAGAGCCACAGGAGGCCAGAGACCAUGACUAUGCUGUUCACUGUUGUGACCUUGAAGGCUGGCACAUAGCAGGUGUCCAUAGAUGCUGACUGCAGACGGCGAGCCAACAAGCAUCUGAAUGAAGCUCUGUGUGUCCUCAGGCAUCCAUCAUGACGGGCACGGUGCAGAGCGUGGCCCUUGAGGGCAGGCCUGGCCACCGGCCCUGGCGGAGGAGCCAGGAGGUACGAGCGUCCCCUGAAGAGACACAAGAGCUGCUUGUGCCGACACCCUUAGAGAUGCACAAGGUGGGCACCGGGGCUGGGCACGGGAAGCCUGGAUGGGUGUCCCGGGGCCGCGAGGACUCACCAGGGGCUCCCGAGGGGCCCCACCCCUCUCUGGGCUUCAUUCUCCACCACCAAACACGAUUUGGUAUUAGACUGAGUUUUCCAAAAUUCUCAUCAUUUGGGUGAUACACACCCCCACCCCCAAUGAUACACACCAGGCUGCUAUUAAUACAUUUCUUUAAGUAGACUCACUUUUUUCCCACCUAAGUUAGUGUGUGUGUAAGAUCUAAAGGCAUUUAUAUAGAAUACAUGUAUAUGUAGUUGUAUGUGUGUAUCUAUAUAUAUCACUUCCUUAAAGGAGAAGCCAGCCUCCCUUGCCAUCUGUAGGUUACUAUAUAGAAAAACAGAGAAGAAACCUCUCAGCUGGUAGUCCUCAGAAGGCUCAGAGCCUCUUGGUAAAUUGGGAGAGGAGCAAGUGUUAGAAGGGUGAAACCCAUUGGUUACCCACGGAGACUUUCUUCUGGGUGGAAGGGAGAGGAUUGAAAAAGAACUGAGAAGGUACCCUAUCCCUAACUUCCCCUUUGUGACUGGUGCUGGGAACCCGAGGAUAUGCUGCCAUGCAGAACGCAAGGGGGCGCUGUGGGACAAACGCAGUGAAGUGUGGGGAGCACAGCUAGGGGGCAGGCUAAGUGUGUGUCCCGCACCAAGGGCUGCUGUGGGGGGCGGGGGACAAAGGUCAAAGCUCCAGGGACCUCCUCCUCCUUCCGCUCCCAGGUGACACUGCACAAGGACCCUUUGCGGAAUGACUUCGGUUUUAGCGUCUCCGAUGGCCUCCUGGAGAAGGGCGUCUAUGUCCACACUGUGCGCCCUGAUGGGCCAGCCCAACGUGGGGGCCUCCGGCCCUUCGACAGGGUCCUUCAGGUAAUGCUGGGCCGGGGGCACCAUGGAUAGCGUGGCCUUUUCUUGCCUCAUGGUGGAGAAAGAGGCCUGUUUCUACCCUGGCUGAAAGGCCUCAGGCAGGUCGCCUCCCCUCUCUGAGCCCCAGCUUUCUCAUAGAGCAAAGGGUAUGACAGGACCAGUCCUCUAGUCACGUUAGGUUCAGUUGUGUUGCAGUAACAACCCCGAAUCUCAGUAGCUUAACGCACAUGAACGUAUACCUGUCCACAGUGGUCUGGCAUAGGCUUAAUCCACCCAGGCUGAUGGGGGCUGUACCCUCUUGUAAAUACCUUAGAUGAUGUGACUUAGGAAAAGCGACUGGAACAUCAUACAUGGGUUUUUUCCUGCCUUCACCCAGAACACCUGCUACUCCCCUUCACAGCCUAUUGGCCUUCUGGAACUAGUGAUGUGACCUUGCUAACUGCAAGGGAGCCUGGGAAAUGUGGGCGAGCAGAUCGAAAGCUCUGGGACAGGCCUGGCCCAGCCACCCUGCACCGCCUUUCCCAGGCCCCAGCUACCUUUGUUCCCAUGAUGUGAUUUCUGCUAUAUCAGUGCUACAUUUUUACUAAAUAUGUUUCCUUUCAGUUCAACUGAAAUUUAUUUUGAAAGGAAGCUUUUCGUGUCAAUUAGGAAUGAAAACCCAGCACCCCUUUGCUUGACAUAAAAGAUCAAUCUAAAAUAAAAAUAAAACAGAAACAAAGCAAUGUCACGAAAUUCUAGGCAGGAAGCUGGGUGUGUGGUCUGCUCUUUUAUGUUAAAAAAAAAAAGGGAGAGAAGUGGGUGUUCGUGGAGUGGGAAGGAGGUACUGGCACCCCCUUUGGGGUUUCUCUUUGAUAAAACCUAACCAGAAAGAUUGAAAGAGAACUAAAUGAAGGAGGACUUCGUCUCUAGGAGUGUUCUAGAUUUACCCUGUACCUGGGCUGGGGCAGGGCCCACGCUUCAGGAAGUCCCACGAUUCCCACCUACUUUAGCCCAGGCUCAGCUAAUGCCGUUCUGUCCCCUUGGCUGUAUACUGUGCAGGUCAACCACGUUCGCACGCGGGACUUCGACUGCUGCCUGGCGGUGCCACUCCUGGCCGAGGCAGGCGAUGUCCUGGCACUGGUCAUCAGCCGCAACCCGCUGGCGCAGAGCAGCCGAGCCCCGCGAGCACCAGGCCCCAGCAGCCCCCGGAUGCUCUGA